CAAGUAGAGAACUGGCUGAGGACAGCAAUCCCUAAUCGGUCUUCCCAUCCUCCAGGUGGAAAACCCUAGCACCAGGCCCCAAGGGCCUCACAGGCCCUCCACUGCACCCACCCCCCCUGCAGGCCCAGUGUGGCCUCCCAGAGGAUGGCAGGCCCUCUCCUCCCCCACUCCUAUCCUUUGGCAUCAGGGCAGAAGAGAUGUCACCUUCUUGUGCACUGGGGGCAGAGGUGAGGGAUAGGAAAGGACAGCCGAUACAGCCCUUGAAACUCAAUGGUUUUUAAUGACUGCAUCUCAAUUGGCUGCCUGUGGGGUGUCAGUAUGCUUUGCUCCUCCUCUGCUGCUGUUGGCACCAAGACGGCUCCACCCCAGGCAGGCAGCUGCAGGGUGCUUGAGAACCCCCCGCUAGGACCCUCUUGCUACAUUCUUCCCGCUGCCUCACAGAAAUGGCCGCAGACCCAACUGCCAACUGCCAUGUUUGGGCCAGCAUGGCACUCAGAAUCCUGUUGCCAUGGCCACUGAGCUGCCCUUAACCGCAGUCCCUGAGCUGACCCAGCCAGAGGCAGCUGAACUCUGAGUCUCAGAAAGAGAUCCUCAUUAUUUCUGAGGACGGGAUGGAGCAGCCACCUGCUAAGAAGAGGCGGCUGCUGGAAAUGGGUGAUGACAUUGAGCCCAUGGAGGUGGACCCCCCUGGCAGUGAUGGAGAGCCCAUGGAGGUGGAUCCACCUCCAGAGGAUGAUCUGAUGGAAGUGGAUCCACCUCCAUCGGGCAGAGUGGCCAUCAGUCCAACACUGCCAGGCCAAUAAUGAAGAGGUUGCGCCCCAAAGUUCAUCUCAGGGGCACCAGGAUCCAUCUACCUCCCUUGAAACGGCUGCCUCAGUGCUGGCGCUGAUCCUCCAGUCCUCCAAGGCUCCUAUGAGCCCUUCCUUUCCAUCUCCCUCCCUUAUCCCUUUCCAAGACCCCUCAUCUCUUCUUCACCAAGUCCUGAGGAAGAGGGCAGGGCAGGGACUGCCAUCCUUGGAGCUGCUGUGCUGGGGCAGCGGGAGGAGUCCAGCGGAGGGACCUCGACUGCUGGAGGCCUUGAACACUUCAGGAGCGCAAGGAUCCCGUUCCUGUGAGCCCAUCCUUCCUGUCCCCCUCCCUCAUCGCUGCCCAGGGUGGGAGGAGAAGUCAAGGAAGGGACAGAGGCAGCUGCUGCUGUGGAGAACCAGACUUUGGUUUGGAUGGGAAGGAGUGCUGAACUUCAGCAAGAAGGUCCAUCCCAGAUGCUUCGUUUGGACUUUUCUUUCAAGACUGGACAAUCAGCAAUUUAAAACAACAAUACAAAAUAAUAAAAAA